rnacentral:tRNA from 1 species
GGGCCUGUGGUCUAGCUCGGUAUGACGUUGCCCUCACAUGGCAAAGGUCCCCAGUUCAAAUCUGGGCAGGCCCA